rnacentral:lncRNA from 1 species
AUAAUUUUUUUUCAAUAUUUGUGGGUAUGGAAGAAGGUAACAACGGAAGAACUUACGUUUGACGACGAAAUAGUCUUUCUCGUGGCUAGAUGUGGCACCUCUCAUUGGCCAAAUGAGGACUAAACUUCUGAGACUGAGAGCAUCGGAGGAAGGGAACAAUGGAGGAUGGACUCCUCAACUGCCAUGGAUUCCGUGGAAUGAUGGUCAUCAGCGUUUUAGGUGACAUCUAUUUCUUAAUUUCUUUUCGAAUGGCCUAUUUCUUCCCUCUUACACUACAAUCCUUUAGUUUGCGACCUUUAAUGAUUCUCUUAUAUAUUAUACUCUUAUCAUUUGCGACCUUUAACUCUAACCAAAACAUUUGGAUGAUAAUAAUUCUUUUUUUUUCUCUCUCACAUCUGAUUCUCAUGAUGAAAAGCUAGCUUCACUCAUAAUCCAAAGCAUUGUGGCUGAGAUUGAUCUGAUUAGAGUAGACGGGAGCUGAUGAUUGUGGAUUGAAAUUGAUAGAGGAGAUGGUUAUAGUUGCACAAAGAUUGAGUUGAGGACAGAAAACGAGUUAGAUGAGGAGGAGUUGGCAUUUUUUACGAUGUUUAGUAGAUAUUUUGAUUCAAUUAGUAAUUUAUCAUGUGAUGACAAUUUGUUCUUCUAGUUGAUAUGUUAUUUGAUUUUAAUGUAUAAAGUUGGUUGGAAGUGUUUAAUAUGUGGCUGGGCUUUUGUAAAUUCAGUAUAGUGAAGUUAAUGGAUGUGUUUAUGUAGUUAAGCU